AGCCUGAACGCUGGCGGCGUGGCUAAGACAUGCAAGUCGCACGGGCCUAGCAAUAGGUCAGUGGCGAACGGGUGAGUAAUGUAUCGCUAACGUACCCCGGACUCUGGGAUAGCUGCCCGAAAGGGCAGGUAAUACCGGAUGAGACCCCGGCCCGCAUGGGGUUGUGCUCAAAGGUCCGCCGGUCUGGGAGCGGGCGAUAUCGUAUCAGCUAGUUGGCGGGUAACGCCCACAAGGCGACGACGCGUAGCCGGACUGAGAGGUCGGUCGGCCACAUCGGGACUGAGACACUGCCCGGACUCCGUACGGGGGGCUGCAGUAACGAAGUCUUCCCCAAUCGCACGAAACGUGUAGAGGGAGCGACGCCGCGUGUGGGACGAAGUCCGUUCGGA
rnacentral:rRNA from 1 species